UUCAUUAUUCUCUUUACAUUUUUUUUAUCAUUAAUUAAACGAUUCGAUUGACAAUUUGUAAGCCCUUGUAAGAAUGGCAAAUCCCCUUGUUGCUUCUGCAAUCCAUAGCUAAAAAUAAUAAACCCUCGGAAAGGGUACAAAAAGUAAAAGUGCUACUCGAGUGAGUUCUGUGCGCGGCUGUUCUUCAACUUAAUUAAUACAUCGCCCUGCGAUGCGCAGCUGCCAGUGAAAAACUAUUUCGAUUUGUUUUGAUUGCCUCCGCUGUUUGGGGGGCUCCUGACUUGCUUUUGUUGCGCCACAUCGCCCUAUAAAAACCCGGCCAAGCCAAACCAAACCAAACUGAAACUGAAAGCCAAAUGGAAGCGACCGUUUACAAUUGACGUCACGGCGGAAAUCAGGAGCAUUGUAUUGAAAACUUAGCUGAGCAUAAGACUGGAACCGAAUUUAUGCGGGACUGCGGGACAACUCCUCGAAAUGACCCGCAAAUGUGUCAGAAAACUGAAUAAAUGUGUGUGGAUGAGGACCUUAAUUUGUCAAAGGUGCGAACUCAUGCGGAAGGAGACAACUUUCAAUUCCUAUUAUAUCAAUCUCUCUGGUCGUAUUUGGGUCACAAAAGGGACAGGACUUUAAAUUUAAUGUAUUCCGUGGCAAGACAAAUUCAUGCUUCAAUAUGCAAUAAUCUGUGACAAACUUUUUUGUAGCUCUGUUCCUUCACAGGAGUAUUUUUUUCGAAAAGUAAUUUCAUUUUGAUUUUGUCAAAUUGGGAAUGUAUCAAAUAUCAGAGGGGGAGUAAAAACGUUUGGUAUUUAAAUUUAACUUGUGUUCUAGCUUUAGAUUUUACCAAAGAAAACGUAUGGUAUUGAUUAAAGAAAUUUGAAUAUUAAAUGUGAA